AUCACUUCUCCGCUAUUUGGCUAAGAUCAAAUGUAGUAAAUGUUCUUAUCAGUUUAAUAUCUGAUACGUCCUCUAUCUGAGGACAAUAUAUUAAAUAGAUUUUUGGAGCUCGGGGUUGGAAUAGAAACUUGCUCCAUCCACUCCACACAUUGACCUGGUAUUGCAGUACCUCUAGGAACGGUACACGCCCU
rnacentral:snRNA from 1 species